rnacentral:lncRNA from 1 species
ACUCUGUAGGUGUCCAAGGCCUUCAGAAUUUAAUUUUAAUGGAAAAUUAACAGUGUGAGAAGGCAUUCCAUAAUCAAAUUAACAAAAUAUUUGUAGAAAUAGGAAAUACUCAAUAUUUUCUGAUGUUGCUGAAAAGUAAUGAAAGAUAAACACUGUAAGUUGUGAUUUGGCUUAGGAUUCUAAAAAUUUUAAUUAACUCACUAAUGUUUCCUUAUGAAAUAAAAUUAGUCUGAGAAUUGAAAGGAGUCCAUCAUUAAGUAUCAGCUAUUCUGACGCCAUCUAAACCAGAUUAUCUUUAAAUUAUGUCUAUGGCAUUUCAUGUAACAAACUUUGAAUUCUAAAGAAAAAGAAUCAAGUUUGUUUUACUGAGAGUAAUAUUUUCUUGACUGAGAAAGAUUAUGUUUGGAGGUCUUGAACCAUUCCUCCAGCUAAGAAAAUGGCCUUCAAAGAAAGGAAGUCUAAUCAGUCUAAUGAGCUGAUUUCUAUGUAGUAUGCUUGGAAAUACAAACUCAGGCAUGAAAAUAUUCAAUAAUAUUCUGAGCAUUUAAUCUGACUCUAGCAAUCUCUUCUAGCAGGCCAGAAAGAUAUGCUAAAAAUCAUCCUAGUUAGGGGUAAAAAUUUUGAAAACUCCCAUAGGCUUUUUAAUAGUGAAUAUAGGUUAUUUAUAUCAUUGUAUAUGGAGGUGCAUAAUGCUCUAAUAAAAAGAAAAUUUGCCAUUAACUUUAGAAAUGGCAAAUUGGUCUGUAGCAAAUUGUGUUCAUGAAGUGAGUCAUGUAGUCAAUAGGUCUGGGACAAUAUUUUUAUAGGUACCCCUGAGGCUCUUUAUGUUUUUCAGAAUUGUCUAUCUUGUCAAUAGCACACAGGAGGCUUUCUUUGUUUGGCAGAUGUAAGUUUGACUAGGAUACUUAAUCAGUGUCAGCUCUUUUCCAAGGGCCAUGAGCUUUCUUACCAAAAAGCACAAUUGCUGAAACUCAAUACAAGCCUGUGAACUGAAUUUUACGUGUAGGCAUCAGUCAGAGUGAGGACAUGCUAAGGGCCCGGAUAUAGUGGAUUACAGCUGGCAGCCACUUGUCAGAUAUGAAUGAUCAUUUUUGUACUCAAGUGACAGAGACUAGACUCAUGUUUCUGUCAUGCAAAAAAGUAAAAGGACCAAUGUAGAAAUUCCUUUCCCUCUCACAAUUCAUGGGUGUACAGUUUAGGAAUCCCAAUAUCCCUAAAAGUGAAGGCACUAUAGUAGAUAAAGAAGAAUACCAACUUACCUAGCGAAACUCCAAACGUCAGUGAAAUUAAAAAUAAGCAAAAUAAAAAGACAUCCAGAAUGAGUGAUUCCAAGUGAAAAAAUUGUCGAGAAAACCUAUAACCAAUUCAUGAAUCAGUCUAUCAAUCAGUUAAGAGAGCACAUAAGGAAACAAUUAUAUUGUUUCCUUCACAUUCACUUAUUUUUUUCAACACUCACUUAUUAGUUCAACAAAUAGUUCAACAGAUAUUUGUUAAUACUCUACCACAAGUGAAGUUUUUAGGGAUUCAAAACAAACCACUUUUUCUAAAUAGAAGAAUCUAGUGUUGCUAGAUUUCACAUGGCUGUCACCUCUAGUAAACAUAAAAAUGGAGAAAACACAUCCAAUCAAAUUAAAAUUUUUAAAAUUAUAAUGCAUGUGUGUUUGUGUGUGUGUAUUUAAUCCAGAUAUACAGAUGAUACUAUAGAUGAAUUCUUAUUUGGCAUAGAGAGAAAUGAGCUCAGCAGCAACUUACCCUUUCUGAAAUUCAAUGUUGGAUGUGUUGGGAAAUGGAACUAAAUGUAAGCAAAUGUCUUCAGAGUCUUCAGACUGAAUUAUUUCAACCUCUGUAAUGAAUAACUGGCUAUAAAAAUCUAAAGCCCGAUGAUCCUGGGUCUGGAGCAGAUCUCUAAAUAUAAACAUUGGAAACUUAGGCUGGAACAAGGGAAGACACACAACAAAAAGCCUAAG